rnacentral:rRNA from 1 species
AUGGCUGACCAAGGGAUUCUACACCAAACUUCAUGUCCGGACCCCCCCCCCCCUCAGAAUGGAGUGGCCGAAAGGAAGAAUUGUCAUAUUCUUGAGGUUGCUCGGUCGUUGAUGUUUACCAUAAAUGUGCCUAAGUUCUUGUGGGAUGAUGCAGUUAUGACAGCCACAUACUUGAUCAACCGGACACCUUCCAGGAUACUAGGCAUGAAAUCUCCGUCUGAGUUGCUCGUUGGAGAUAAUAACUUUGUUGUUCCACCAAAGUUGUUUGGCAGUACCUGCUUUGUUCAUGAUCACCGACCUUUUGUUGGAAAGCUUGAUCCUCGGGCAGUGAAGUGUGUCUUUCUGAGAUACUCGUCUAGUCAGCAAGGGUAUAAAUGUUGGUGUCCCUCUGAAAAACGCAGGUUUGUAAGUAUGGAUGUUACCUUCAGGGAGUCUGAGCCAUUCUAUGGUGAGCCGACUGAUCUCAGUCUACUGUUUGCAGAGCUUGACCACCUACACCCUGUGUGUGAUGGUCAAGAGGGGGAGAAGGAUGUGUCUCAUACUCAUGGUGAUUAUGUGGACAUUAACACUGAUAAUGAUAUGCGAGCUCAGGUUCAACCAAUAGUGGGUACAAUUCCAGUUAGUACCCUCACUGAUGAUGAUGUGCAGGCCCAUGUCGAGCCAACUAUCGAUACACUUAAGAUUGGUGCUCUCCAUGUUCCUGUUCGGGAUCGAUGGCAGACGAAUACCCUGGUGUACUCUUGA